rnacentral:rRNA from 1 species
AACGAACGCUGGCGGCGUGCUUAACACAUGCAAGUCGAACGCGAAAGGGACUUCGGCCUGAGUAAAGUGGCGCACGGGUGAGUAACGCGUAGAUAACCUGUCUUCAUGUCUGGAAUAAUACGCCGAAAGGGGUACUAAUACCGGAUAUUCUUGCUUUUCAUAAGUUAUGCAAGCAAAGGUGGCCUCUGCAUAUGCUACUGCAUGAAGAGGGGUCUGCGUACCAUUAGCUAGUAGGUGGGGUAAUGGCCUACCUAGGCGACGAUGGUUAGCGGGUCUGAGAGGAUGAUCCGCCACACUGGCACUGGAACACGGGCCAGACUCCUACGGGAGGCAGCAGUGAGGAAUAUUGCGCAAUGGGGGAAACCCUGACGCAGCGACGCCGCGUGAGUGAAGGAAGGCCUUCGGGUCGUAAAGCUCUGUCAAGAGGAAAGAAGUGUACAAUGGCUAAUACCUGUUGUAUUUGACGGUACCUCUAAAGGAAGCACCGGCUAACUCCGUGCCAGCAGCGGC